UACGAAGGGGGCUAGCGUUGCUCGGAAUCACUGGACGUAAAGGGCGCGUAGGCGGCCAUUCAAGUCGGGGGUGAAAGCCUGUGGCUCAACCACAGAAUUGCCUUCGAUACUGUUUGGCUUGAGUAUGGCAGAGGUUGGUGGAACUGCGAGUGUAGAGGUGAAAUUCGUAGAUAUUCGCAAGAACACCAGUGGCGAAGGCGGCCAACUGGGCCAUGACUGACGCUGAGGCGCGAAAGCGUGGGGAGCAAACAGG
rnacentral:rRNA from 1 species